CGCUUGACCUGCCCACUGAUUGGAACAAAAUUAAAUGGCCGCGGUAUAUUGACCGUGCAAAGGUAGCAUAAUCGUUAGUUUUUUAAUUGGAAUCUUGUAUGAAUGGUUGGACAAAAGAAAAUCUGUCUUUAUAUUAUUAAUUGAAUUUAACUUUUAAGUGAAAAGGCUUAAAUGGAUUAAAGUGACGAUAAGACCCUAUAAAGCUUUAUAUAGAUAUAUUAUUUAAUUAAAUUUUUAAUAAAAAUUUAGUAGUAAAAUUUAUUUUAUUGGGGCGAUAAGAGUAAAAUUUUUAUUAACUGCUUUAAGUUUUGAAUACAUUUAUGUUUGAUUAAAAUUUUAAAUGAUCCUAAAUAAAGAUUAAAAGUUUAAGUUACUUUAGGGAUAACAGCGUUAUUUUUUUUGAGAGUACUUAUCGAAAAAAAAGUUUGCGACCUCGAUGUUGAAUUAAACAUUUCUUUAUAAUUGCACAAGUUAUAAAUAGUAGCUCGGGUCGCCUU
rnacentral:rRNA from 1 species